AUCUGAAGAAGGAAGAAGAAACAUAAGAAGAAGCAGCAGCAGAAAAAGGGUAGGUGUAGGAGGUACAGCUCAUCUUCUGAGUCUUCUGAUUCAGACUCAGACUCAGAUUCCGACGAUCGGAGCAGUCGAAAGAAGAGCUCAAGGCAUAGCAGAAAGCGAUGAAUGAGAGAGGGUAGUACACAACAUUGCCUGUUUUAAGCACAUAUAAUUCUAC